CAGCUUUCGACCUUUGCAUCCAGCCCAUAUAAAUAGAGAUUGAGGUAGAUGAACUUCCUCUCUUCUCCUGCCGUCUCUAGAAGCGAGGUUAAAGGAGGUGGAGAUGGAUAUUAAGCAGAUAUACACAUCAUCCACUAGCCUCGACCGGCCUCUGCCGUGGAGCUUUUAUGCAGGUUUUGGAUAAAGCACUAAAUGGCAGAGAUGAAAGCGCCACUCAUAAGUGAUGGACUGAUCCCCCUCGACGCUACAGGAGCCUGAAGGAGGAGUUGGCUCCAGAAGUCCAGAUGGAUGCUGCACAGAUGCUCGUGCUGGAUCUUUACAGGUCCUGCCUCCAGCCAGAGGGUGAGGUGGAGGUGCAAACUACCUCAUCCCCAAAACCCCUGAUGGUUCAGUGGGUCAGUCAUCUUGAACACCUGCAGGUGUGAGGAGUUAGCAUUCCAGAAACUGACCCCUGCUUAAUGAAAUUCUGUAAACAAGUUCUUAAUAAAUGAUCCAAAUCCA